CCUACGGGAGGCAGCAGUGAGGAAUAUUGGACAAUGGGCGCAAGCCUGAUCCAGCCAUGCCGCGUGCAGGAAGACGCAUCUAUGGUGUGUAAACUGCUUUUGUACAGGAAGAAACACUCCCUCGUGAGGGAGCUUGACGGUACUGUAAGAAUAAGGAUCGGCUAACUCCGUGCCAGCAGCCGCGGUAAUACGGAGGAUCCAAGCGUUAUCCGGAAUCAUUGGGUUUAAAGGGUCCGUAGGCGGUUUAAUAAGUCAGUGGUGAAAGCCCAUCGCUCAACGAUGGAACGGCCAUUGAUACUGUUAGACUUGAAUUAUUAGGAAGUAACUAGAAUAUGUAGUGUAGCGGUGAAAUGCUUAGAUAUUACAUGGAAUACCAAUUGCGAAGGCAGGUUACUACUAAUGGAUUGACGCUGAUGAGAAGACGUGGGAGGCGACGAGAGUAGUAUACCUACGUAGUACGACGACCGUAACGAACGUAGGUAGUACUAGUCUGUUGGUAAGGACG
rnacentral:rRNA from 1 species